UGAAGAGUAUGAACCUGUUCUGAGCACUUUGCCACACACCCGACAUUCAUCACCCUGUUUGACCCUGCGAACAAUGCUUCUUUGAAUCUGCCACCAUUAUCUUACAGGAGAGAAGGGUGCUGAGGGGCGGGAUCUGCACUUGAGAAGCGCAAGUUCAGUGAGUCACCCUGCGUGAGAAGCGCUUGUCAAUGUCCAUCCAUCAUCGCGAAACACAACGGACGUUUUCUAUUUUAGGGCUGAAGCACACUUAAGGGCCUUGUGAGGUUUGUCGUUCUCCUUGAUCACCACACGCUUCAUGAUCCUUGCAAACACUAAUCUGUCUCAACAGAGAAGAAUCCCAUGGUUGCCUGUGAAAUGGUCCCAGGCUGUGACAAUUCCCCCGGAGAAGAUUGAGGACUGUCCCAUCAUUGGGAAAGCGCGUUCUCUUCACUGACCAUCGUCUGAGUACAUCUUCCAUUCCCCUUUACAUCUCUGACCCAACUUACCACUGUUUCUCAGUAGGAGCUAUCUGCCCACGCCACCAAGAAUGUGUGCAUGUGCUAGGUGUACUAGGUCGCACUGUAUGUUACCCGUUCUACGCUGUACAUGUGCAUCUCUGUAUGCCCCACCUCAAAUGUGCACAUCAUAUGCUACCAGGGCUUCACCAAAACCUACCAGUAACAUCCCCCAACUUUUUUCUUUCUCUGUCAUCUCUGAAAUACUAUUAGCUCUACUCAGCUCCAUUCCUUUCUUUUAGAGAUAUUUCAAAAGUGUGCUUAACUGCCAUGCAGCUGUGGCACUUUAUCCUGUAUUAGUUUAAAAGCAUUUUAAAAGAAUGAUUGCCCCAUAGAGCCAAUGUUUCUUUUGAAGUAUUAAAUAUAUGAGAUUACAUGUAACAUAUAUGACAUACAUGUUUAUUAAUCAUAUCUAUAUAUUAGUGGCAUCCAUGCUAAAGCCAUGUAGUGAAAGGAAUGUGAACUAAGUAACUACUGGAAGUCCUUAAUUUUUUCAAAAUAGACAUAAUCACACUUGAGUCUACACUUACUGACAACUCUUGAGCCUACCUGGUAACUUGAAGCCGGAGCUGACUGCCCAAGCCUCCACUGGCAGGGAUUCAAUUAUAAGUAGAAUCAUUGAUAUGUAUUUAGGAAAGAGGAGGUAUAGACUAAAACAGUGGUAGCCAGUCUUUGAAAAGUCAUAACUUGGUCAGCCUUGGCCUUAGUUUUUCUUUUUGUUUUGUUGUUGUUUUGUUUGUUUUUGAAUAUUGCUUUGACUCCAUCCUUCAGCCUACACACAAUACAGGUAGAAUCUCUUAAAAUUAAAAUGAACUAAAGCUGUCUCGAAAGAAUUUAAUGUAUUUUCAUUAAUAAUUCAAUUCUUUUCUCUAAA